ensembl:snoRNA
CCUCUCUUCAGCUCCACUGGAGCACACAGGUCCAGUGUGUUUUUAGGUAUUUUUAGGGAGAGAGAGGAAGGCCCUCCUAAUGCACGACAGACCCGCCCCAAAGUGGCUUUCCUGUUCCUAGGAGUGUGACAGCU